rnacentral:rRNA from 1 species
ACGAACGCUAGCGGGAUGCUUCAAACAUGCAAGUCGCACGGGAAAGUUCCUUCGGGAACAAGUAUAGUGGCGCACGGGUGCGUAACACGUAGCUAACGUACCCUUUCGCUGGGGAUAACUCCGGGAAACCGGAGCUAAUACCGAAUGAGCUGUCGGGAACUGCGGUUCCUGCCGGCAAAGCCUAUGGCGCGAAAGGAUCGGGCUGCGUCCCAUUAGCUAGUUGGUGAGGUAACGGCUCACCAAGGCGACGAUGGGUAGCUGGUCUGAGAGGAUGAUCAGCCACACUGGAACUGAAACACGGUCCAGACUCCCACGGGAGGCAGCAGUUGGGAAUAUUGGACAAUGGGAGAAAUCCUGAUCCAGCAAUCCCGCGUGGGUGACGAAGGCCUUCGGGUCGUAAAGCCCUUUCAGCAGGGAAAAAGGGAAACUUGAUUGUACCUGCAGAAGCAGCACCGGCUAACUACGU